rnacentral:rRNA from 1 species
AUGGGGCACUAUGCCACAGAUUGCCCAGGGGCGAAGAACUCAGGAUCCAGCAAGCCAAACCCCUUCCAAAAGGGUCAUGUAAAUCAUGUUAAUGUGGAGGAGGUUUACAAUGAACCUGAUGCAGUGAUUGGUAAGUUCUUGAUUAAUUCAGUACCUGCAGUUAUUCUUUUUGAUACUCGUGCAUCGCAUUCAUUCAUUUUGAGGGUAUUUGUUGAUAAACAUGGAUUGCCAACCAAAACACUUAGUAUGCCUAUUAGAGUGAGUUCCCCCGGAGCUGAGAUGAUAGCAGGUGUUGGUUGUCAUUAG